CGAGGAUUGACAGACAGUUACCAUGCCCUUUCGAAAGGAGUCAGGUUUUAAACCUAAUGGCUCUUUCAUGAUUAUAUGAUAGGUGGUGCAUGGCCGUUCUUAGUUCGUGGAGUGAUCUGUCUGCUUAAUUGCGUUUCAAAUUUUUAUUUGAGGACCAGGUUUUGGUUUGGGUAGUGGUCCUACGAUGACUGUGAACUGUCAUGUCUUCGGAUGUGCGACUAUCGGUCUAGGAUCGCAUCUCAGCCCCUGGGACUCUUUUGAACGCAACGGACGUGAUUGCAACCCCUUGUUGAGAUUAGAGGAGUCUCGAUAUUCAUUGGCCAAACUUACCGCUUCGAGCUUGCUCGUGCAGUUUUGUUAGCCGGUGGAUAAACUCGGGGGACUGCUGACUAUAACCAUUUCUCAAAACAGAGGAAGGUUGCGGCAAUAACAGGUCUGUGAUGCCCUCAGA
rnacentral:rRNA from 1 species